GCCUGGUGUGAAGGUAGUGAGCUAUUUCAAAUGACUGUUCACCAUCAAUUACAGAUCAGACUUGUUGUUUUACUCUUUUCCUUUUCCCCUUAUUGAACUUCACUUGUCUUUA
rnacentral:Y_RNA from 1 species